rfam:Subdoligranulum variabile DSM 15176 genomic scaffold Scfld0, whole genome shotgun sequence.
AUGCGGGCCCCGUGCGUGGGCGGCCUGUGAACCAUGUCAGGCGGGGAACCGAGCAGCAUUAAGCGGCGCUCGUCCAGUGCUGCGGCAAGCCUGCAUCUG